GAAAACUCUGUCAAACUUUGGAAAAGUUUACCAAAAGGGAAAAUGGGGAGAGAUGGAAGGAUGGGGCUCGAAAUUGCAGAGGUUUCAGAUAUAAGAGAUGAAGCUUGCUCUCUGAAUGUGUGUGUUUUGCUUGUUGGGUAGAAGAUGCCUUUUUUAUAGCUGCUAGAAGCUAUCCUUUUUCAAGAAACCCUAAUGGCUUCUAUCCAAUUUGGCCAAGUCUUUCCCUUCCUUUCUCCCCUCAUCCCUCCAAUCAUCCUAUUUUGGUGAAAUCCACUCUGCUCAUUU
rnacentral:lncRNA from 1 species